rnacentral:lncRNA from 15 species
AUGCACGUCAAGAUGAUUCCAGACAUUGUUCCAACAAAGUGUUUGAUGUCCAGUUUCACCCCUGAUAAGUCCAACAGCCGGCAUAUUCCUAGAGACAGAAGCUCUUCACGGGUCUCAGAACAUUACUUUGUGCCUGAGGAUUCCUCCACCUCUCACACAGACACAGCAAAGACCAAACAGCAGGAUGUGGAACAGGAAGAAGAGUUCUCAGAAGUGGGUUCGUCCCUGUGGAGACAUGUACUACUUGGAGAGCAGAACCAGAGAAAUCAAACCCCCGACGUCGCCCUGAGAGAAACUGAAUCCCCCGGCAAUUCAUUUGUGCCUGUGAAGAGGAGCAGGGACCUGAGAAGAAAUGGGUAAAUUCACGUUUAUUCCUCUUCAUGUGCCGUUCUCUUGAUGUGAAAUGCUCAGGUUGUCGUUGUAGUGUGUUGACAAGCAUUGUACAUAUUACAUCAUGUUUUUUGGCCUUUCAUUGCUCCUCUCUACUCCCUAACCUUCUUCAUUUUUCCUCAGACUACACAAAGAGACUUCGGGGAACAAGAGGCACAUGGGUGUUUUAUCCCCUGUGAUGAAGAAGGAACAUCCACCUCCACAGAGCGACACCCUCGCUAGGCGUCAGGCUAAGGACACCAGGCGCCAUCACGAGAGAGGAGGCCAAAUUAGCCAAGAGGCAACGCAUCAAUAUAUAGAGCCAUCACAGUGUGGAAGUUACCAGCUAUGAUCACUGAAGCACAGAGUGAAGUGUUAAAAGACUUCUUAAAAAACACAUGAAUAAUAAUCCCAACCUCAACAGACUUGAACUAAGAUGGAAUUUAACAGGGUGUUUUGUGACGUUCAUUUUUUCUUUUUUUACUUGUCUGCAUUUUGUCUCAUUGAGACUUUUUACAUGUCAUAUGUCUUGUUUUAUAUGUAUGUUUUGUUGUAUGUGGACCCCAGCAGGAGUAGCUGUACCUCAGUGGCAGCUAACGGUGAUUUAAGAGUAAAGAAUCUCACUGAUGAGACAUUACACGUCCCCUUUAAUGUAAUUACAUUUUUAAUAAAAACUCUUUAAAAACAAGACAAUUUACUGAUGAGAAACCUUUAUGCUUGGAUUCUCGGGGUACGUCAACAUGAAGUCUAUGAAGCAUUAGCUGCUUAAUAAACGACACACAGGCUGCUUGUUAUGUAGAUUUUAUUUAUUCCAACAAAAACAAAAAUACAAUCCCGUGGAAUACAUUGUUAAUAAAAUACAAAAAUAAAUAUGUUCAGAUGUUUCUCUCUUUAAUGAUCCAUCCUGGGGAGGAAAUAUCCCAUAUACUACAUGUAAUACAAAAAGUGACACAUUAUUUUUUUGUUGUCUGUGAGGUGGGAAGCACGAAUAUGUCCUGGUGGGUCCAGA